GACGAACGCUGGCGGCGUGCCUAAUACAUGCAAGUAGAACGCUGAAGGAGGAGCUUGCUUCUCCGGAUGAGUUGCGAACGGGUGAGUAACGCGUAGGUAACCUGCCUGGUAGCGGGGGAUAACUAUUGGAAACGAUAGCUAAUACCGCAUAACAGUAGAUAUCGAAUGAUAUCUGCUUGAAAGGUGCAAUUGCAUCACUACCAGAUGGACCUGCGUUGUAUUAGCUAGUUGGUGAGGUAACGGCUCACCAAGGCGACGAUACAUAGCCGACCUGAGAGGGUGAUCGGCCACACUGGGACUGAGACACGGCCCAGACUCCUACGGGAGGCAGCAGUAGGGAAUCUUCGGCAAUGGACGGAAGUCUGACCGAGCAACGCCGCGUGAGUGAAGAAGGUUUUCGGAUCGUAAAGCUCUGUUGUAAGAGAAGAACGAGUGUGAGAGUGGAAAGUUCACACUGUGACGGUAUCUUACCAGAAAGGGACGGCUAACUACGUG
rnacentral:rRNA from 1 species